rnacentral:rRNA from 1 species
CCUGCGGGGGGCUGCAGUGGGGAAUAUUGGACAAUGGGGGGAACCCUGAUCCAGCCAUGCCGCGUGUGUGAAGAAGGCCCUCGGGUUGUAAAGCACUUUCAGUGAGGAAGAACGCCUGGUGGUUAAUACCCAUCAGGAAAGACAUCACUCACAGAAGAAGCACCGGCUAACUCCGUGCCAGCAGCCGCGGUAAUACGGAGGGUGCGAGCGUUAAUCGGAAUUACUGGGCGUAAAGCGCGCGUAGGUGGCUUGAUAAGCCGGUUGUGAAAGCCCCGGGCUCAACCUGGGAACGGCAUCCGGAACUGUCAAGCUAGAGUGCAGGAGAGGAAGGUAGAAUUCCCGGUGUAGCGGUGAAAUGCGUAGAGAUCGGGAGGAAUACCAGUGGCGAAGGCGGCCUUCUGGACUGACACUGACACUGAGGUGCGAAAGCGUGGGUAGCAAACAGGAUUAGAUACCCUGGUAGUC